rnacentral:rRNA from 1 species
GACGAACCGUGCGAACGUUGUUCGGAAUCACUGGGCUUAAAGGGCGCGUAGGCGGCUGAUCAAGUCAGGGGUGAAAUCUUUCGGCUCAACCGGAAAAGUGCCUUUGAUACUGGUCAGCUCGAGGGAGGUAGGGGCAUGUGGAACUUCCGGUGGAGCGGUGAAAUGCGUUGAUAUCGGAAGGAACGCCGGUGGCGAAAGCGGGUCUCUGGGCCGAUACUGACGCUGAGGAGCGAAAGCGUGGGGAGCGAACAGG